rnacentral:rRNA from 1 species
UACGUAGGUUGCGAGCGUUAAUCGGAAUUACUGGGCGUAAAGCGUGCGCAGGCGGUUGUGUAAGACAGGUGUGAAAUCCCCGGGCUUAACCUGGGAAUUGCAUUUGUGACUGCACGGCUAGAGUUUGGCAGAGGGGGGUAGAAUUCCACGUGUAGCAGUGAAAUGCGUAGAUAUGUGGAGGAAUACCGAUGGCGAAGGCAGCCCCCUGGGUCAAGACUGACGCUCAUGCACGAAAGCGUGGGGAGCAAACAGG